GGGUUCCUGGCCUAGUAUGGAUAAGGCACUUGCCUGCGGAGCAAGAGAUCCCGUGUUCAAAUCACGGGGAACCCG
rnacentral:tRNA from 1 species